CAAACUGGGAUUAGAUACCCCACUAUGCUCAGCCAUAAACCUAGACGUCCAACUACAAUUAGACGUCCGCCCGGGUACUACGAGCAUUAGCUUGAAACCCAAAGGACCUGACGGUGCCUUAGACCCCCCUAGAGGAGCCUGUUCUAGAACCGAUAACCCUCGUUAAACCUCACCACUUCUAGCCACCCCAGCCUAUAUACCGCCGUCGUCAGCUUACCCUGUGAAGGCAAUAAAAGUAAGCAAAAUGGGCACAACCCAGAACGUCAGGUCGAGGUGUAGCGUACGAAGCGGGAAGAAAUGGGCUACAUUUUCUAUAAUAGAAUACUACGGACAUGCAACAUGAAAUAGUGCUUGAAGGAGGAUUUAGUAGUAAAAAGGAAGCAGCGUGUCCUUUUGAACCCGGCUCUGAGGCGCGUACACACCGCCCGUCACCCUCU
rnacentral:rRNA from 1 species